rnacentral:rRNA from 1 species
GAUGAACGCUGGCGGCGUGCCUAAUACAUGCAAGUCGAGCGAACGGACGAGAAGCUUGCUUUUCUGAUGUUAGCGGCGGACGGGUGAGUAACACGUGGAUAACCUACCUAUAAGACUGGGAUAACUUCGGGAAACCGGAGCUAAUACCGGAUAAUAUUUUGAACCGCAUGGUUCAAAAGUGAAAGGCGGUCUUGCUGUCACUUAUAGAUGGAUCCGCGCUGCAUUAGCUAGUUGGUAAGGUAACGGCUUACCAGGGCAACGAUGCAUAGCCGACCUGAGAGGGUGUUCGGCCACACGGGAACUGAGACACGGUCCAGACUCCUACGGGAGGCAGCAGGAGGGAAUCUUCCGCAAUGGGCGAAAGCCUGACGGAGCAACGCCGCGUGAGUGAUGAAGGUCUUCGGAUCGUAAAACUCUGUUAUUAGGGAAGAACAUAUGUGUAAGUAACUGUGCACAUCUUGACGGUACCUAAUCAGAAAGCCACGGCUAACUACGU